UACGAAGGGGGCUAGCGUUGCUCGGAAUCACUGGGCGUAAAGCGCACGUAGGCGGAUUGUUAAGUCAGGGGUGAAAUCCUGGAGCUCAACUCCAGAACUGCCUUUGAUACUGGCGAUCUCGAGUCCGGGAGAGGUGAGUGGAACUGCGAGUGUAGAGGUGAAAUUCGUAGAUAUUCGCAAGAACACCAGUGGCGAGGGCGGCUCACUGGCCCGGUACUGACGCUGAGGUGCGAAAGCGCGGGGAGCAAACAGG
rnacentral:rRNA from 1 species